UACGGAGGAUCCAAGCGUUAUCCGGAUUCAUUGGGUUUAAAGGGUGCGUAGGCGGAAUGAUAAGUCAGUGGUGAAAUCCUUCAGCUUAACUGGAGAACUGCCAUUGAUACUGUCAAUCUUGAGUACAUUUGAUGUGGGCGGAAUGUGUCAUGUAGCGGUGAAAUGCUUAGAUAUGACACAGAACACCGAUUGCGAAGGCAGCUCACAAAACUGUAACCGACGCUGAGGCACGAAGCGUGGGUAUAAACAGG
rnacentral:rRNA from 1 species